rnacentral:lncRNA from 1 species
UACUUCUGUUAGCCAUUCAUAACUCAGAAUAGCCAAAAGGCUUUUGAUGUGUUCUAUGUCAACAGGUUCUACUCUUAGAACGGAUUGAGUGGUCCCUGCUAGAUGUCGUGUUUGGAUAGGAAAAUUCGAGGUGUUUCCAUAAUCUUCAAAAAGAUCUUCCUCGAAUUCAAAGGGAUGCUCUAAAGGUGGUGGUUCAUCAUCCCUUAGUUGGUUUUGCAUUCCCUUAUCAGGAGGUUUCUCUACAACCAAAUUAAUGGAUGGGUCAGGUGGAAUUUCUAACUCGGUUGCAAGAUCCUCAUCUUUUGGUUUAGGAUCAGGCUCGACUUCUUUUUCUUCUUGAGGAAACUCAUCAUAAAUGCCUGUGUAAGGGGUAUUUUCAAGGAUUCUCUCUAGGAUAGUGUAACACCCUAAAAAAAAUUGUUUUCUGAAAAAUAGAGCUAAAAUAAUUUAAUUAUGAAUUUUUGUGCUCAUGAAACAAUGGAAAUAAUAAUCUUCAUUAAAAUAAAACUUAUCAUAGAAUUUAGUAACAUGUAUGUGCACUCAUGCUGGAUCAUUUAUAUUUUUGUACUGUGUGACUUUGAUCAAAGUUAAAAUAUUUUCAAAUUUGUUUUUUUGAAAUGGCUUUGAAAUAAAAAAAGAAACAAAAAGAAAACAAAACAAAAGAAAAGGGAAAAACCUCCCUCCCUCUGUCCUGGCCGAGGGCCCAAACCCACCUCUCCCCUUCCUCCCCUCGGCCCAGCACUCGCGCCCUAGCAAUCCGGCCCAGCACGCCAUUCCCCCUUCCUUUCCCCCUCGCGGCCCACUCUUCUCCUGCGGCCCAACGCGCGCGCAACCGGCCCAGAGGCCAUGGCCAGCCAGCCCAGCAUCCUCCUCUCUUUUCCUCUCACUGUCAGCCGGACCCCACUGGUUAGUCUCCUCCCCCUUCCCUUCCUUUCUUCUUCCUUCAGCCGUAGCCGAUCGGGACUCUCCCGGAGGGGCACCCGAUCCCGAAAUUCUUGGGAAUUCUUGCCUACCAUGUUAAUCGGACCCCUAUAAGACCUGCGCAACCUCCUCUACAUAUUUCCUUCGCUUGAAUGCGCACUCGAGAAGCCCUAGUGACCUCUGUCACCAAUUUCCGGAUCUCACCGAAGCCCUCUCUUGCCGCCGCCGUGAAGCUUCUUGACCGCCGCAGUAUUGACAGAUUCAAGCCCUUGUCGAGCUUCGCGUCGGGGUAACGAAGUUUCGGAGCCGCUUAUCUUCUUUUUCUUCUGCUUGGGGUGCUCGCUAACUCGGCCAUGGCUUGCAGGAACACCGCCGCCCGCCACCCCGCGUGGUCUCAUUUCUCCGGGCUGUCCCCACCCUCUAUCUUGGUCUUGGUGAGUUCGCAACGCUCUUCUCUUGCUCCCAGUACUUUUCCCAUCAAAAACCGAGCUUUCUAGAGCCGGCACGCUAACUCCGGCGAGCUCCACGGCGGUGGCAAUGGCCGACCACCACGCCGGAGUCCCUGUGCGCCGCUCAGACUCCUA